rnacentral:rRNA from 1 species
AUUGAACGCUGGCGGCAGGCCUAACACAUGCAAGUCGAACGGUAACAGGAAGAAGCUUGCUUCUUUGCUGACGAGUGGCGGACGGGUGAGUAAUGUCUGGGAAACUGCCUGAUGGAGGGGGAUAACUACUGGAAACGGUAGCUAAUACCGCAUAACGUCGCAAGACCAAGGAGGGGGACCUUCGGGCCUCUUGCCAUCGGAUGUGCCCAGAUGGGAUUAGCUAGUAGGUGGGGUAACGGCUCACCUAGGCGACGAUCCCUAGCUGGUCUGAGAGGAUGACCAGCCACACUGGAACUGAGACACGGUCCAGACUCCUACGGGAGGCAGCAGUGGGGAAUAUUGCACAAUGGGCGCAAGCCUGAUGCAGCCAUACCGCGUGUAUGAAGAAGGACUUCGGGUUGUAAAGUACUUUCAGCGGGGAGGAAGGGAGUAAAGUUAAUACCUUUACUCAUUGACGUUACCCGCAGAAGAAGCACCGGCUAACUCCGUG